ACAAAGCUUUUAGUUCUUCCAAACACUAAUACUUUACUAGACACACCCACACAGAAACACAGAAAUGGCGGACAAGGGAAUGAAUGUGAAGGAUACAGGAGGAGAGACAAGCGGCGAGAAAUCGACACAGAAGCUAGGAAGCGUGAUCCCAAAACCAAGGAAGCAUGUGUCCCAGAUGAUGGGAGAGAAGAUUAGUGGAGCAUUUUCUUCUGGUGUUAAAAGUAUCCAGAACAAGCCCAAGAUCAAUCCAGAUGCUGGUGGUAACUGAAAUGAUAUAUGGGAUGUUGGUGUCACUAUUGAUCUACCAUUCAAACCGUUGAUUAUAUAUGUUCGUGAUAUUGGUGUACUUGCUUUGAUGUCGUAAACUUUUAUCACUAUGGUCGUCCUUAUUGUUAGCAAUCACUUGUUGUUGCUGUAAUAAUCUUAUAUCUUUAUGUGUUAGAUAUCUUCAAG
rnacentral:lncRNA from 1 species